GUAGGUGAACCUGCGGAAGGAUCAUUUCUGAAUUUUGGGUUUUGGUUUGGUUGGCUGUUUUUUUUCACUUCGUGUAAAAAAAUGGUCCCAGCUGAAAUCUAAAUUAAAGAGAGUGUGUGGUAUAUAUGAAGCAAGUAGGGGACUUCCUUUACUGGUUGUUCCCUAUUUCUUUUUUCCAUUAACAACCAAAACCAAGGUUACUAUUACAAUUUAAAAACAAUUGGAUCCGACUUGAGGGUUAUUUUAUUUUUCUUGUAUAAAGAGAGAAAAAAUACCCAAGGGAAGGUGAAAGCCAAAUAAAGAUUACAACUGUCAACGGUGGAUCUCUUGGCUCGU
rnacentral:misc_RNA from 1 species